GGACAAUGGGGGCAACCCUGAUCCAGCCAUGCCGCGUGAGUGAUGAAGGCCCUAGGGUUGUAAAGCUCUUUCAGCGAGGAGGAUAAUGACGUUACUCGCAGAAGAAGCCCCGGCUAACUUCGUG
rnacentral:rRNA from 1 species